AUAAGACGUCGAAAAGCGUCGCGCUAUCAACCACCGCCACGAAACGUCGUCGUCGUCGUCAUCAUUGUCUUCCCGUUGACUUCCUCGAUUAGAUCAGAAUACUGGAAUUUGACUAAUGCCGUUACCAACCGACAUGGAAGCGAAAUUGCUGCGCCAGAUAGUUCUUGCAGGUAUGGCGGAUCUAAAAGAGGAUCAGGAUAAGGCCAAGUGGAAAUAUGCUUUAGAGGUUAGGUAUGAACACCAUCAGAAAUGGAGGAACCUGUGUUCAUGCAUUCUUCGUGCGUUCUACGGAAAAUCAGUCCGGAAUAAGUGGUUUAUAAAGAGGUGUACGAAACGAAUAAGAUGUAUAUGCGAGGUGUCACGGCGAUAGAACCCGAAUGAUUGCCGAAAUUCGCUUCCACGCUAUGCCAUCUUAGUGAACCAUUGGUUGAUCCACCGCCAAGAUAUAAUCAAGGAACCGGGAAGAUCAUUUGCCGCGUGUCUGGUACAUUUGGAAAGGCCGGAUGGGGACUACCAUCGAUGGAUAUAGAGCAUCUGUGGACGGUGUAAAGUGGUUCGCGUAUUUCUUCUUGGAGGUUCAAGUGUACCCUAAGCU